rnacentral:rRNA from 1 species
CCUACGGGGGGCUGCAGUGGGGAAUAUUGCACAAUGGGGGAAACCCUGAUGCAGCGACGCCGCGUGAAGGAUGAAGUAUUUCGGUAUGUAAACUUCUAUCAGCAGGGAAGAAAAUGACGGUACCUGACUAAGAAGCCCCGGCUAACUACGUGCCAGCAGCCGCGGUAAUACGUAGGGGGCAAGCGUUAUCCGGAUUUACUGGGUGUAAAGGGAGCGUAGACGGUUAUGUAAGUCUGAUGUGAAAACCCGGGGCUCAACCCCGGGACUGCAUUGGAAACUAUGUAACUAGAGUGUCGGAGAGGUAAGUGGAAUUCCUAGUGUAGCGGUGAAAUGCGUAGAUAUUAGGAGGAACACCAGUGGCGAAGGCGGCUUACUGGACGAUAACUGACGUUGAGGCUCGAAAGCGUGGGGAGCAAACAGGAUUAGAUACCCCGGUAGUC